rnacentral:rRNA from 1 species
CAGAUGCUAAUACCGGAUAAAAGCUACUUUCGCAUGAAAGAAGUUUAAAGGCGGGCGUAAAGCUGUCGCUAAAAGGGAUGGGACCUGCGAUGCAUUAGCUAGUUGGUAAGGUAACGGGCUUACCAAGGCGAUGAUGCAUAGCCCGAGUUGAGAGACUGAUCGGGCCACAUUGGGGACUGAGACACGGGCCCAAAACUCCUACGGGGAGGCAGCAGUAGGGAAUCUUCCACAAUGGACGAAAGUCUGAUGGAGCAACGCCGCGUGAGUGAAGAAGGUUUUCGGAUCGUAAAAGCUCUGUUGUUGGUGAAGAAGGAUAGAGGUAAUAACUGGCCUUUAUUUGACGGUAAUCAACCAGAAGUCACGGCUAACUACGUGCCAGCAGCCGCGGUAAU